UGCCCAAUAAUAGAAUCCUACUGAAUAUAUCAAAAGAAAUGUAUCUGCCAAAAUUUAAAGCCUAUACUUGAGAUACAGAAUUCGUUUACCAUUUGUGUAGUCAAAUGUGUCUUUUUUGAUAUUUUCUCCACUGCUUCUGAAUUUAUAAUUCCUGACCCUCAAAGUUGAUAAACAUUCACUUGCAAUUUUUAUAUUCUCCAAACUUUCUGAGUGUCUAUUAUCUUUACAAUUGAAAUAACAAGCUAUAAUUAAUAUUGGAAUUAAUAUGAAACCUAAAUUAUAGACCUAAAAACAUAUUGGACAAUCCUUUACAACCUGACUCCUUUCUCUUUAAAGUUAGUGCAAAACUAGGCUUCCAAAGACUUCUCUUGUAGUCCUUGGAAAGAUGCCCUGUGUCUAUGUCAUCAAUUUAUCCUGUCUUGUGUAGUGGAAAGCCUGUAAUAGAAAGAGGAUAAUGGAAAGAGUAAAGAGUUUGGAGUGAGUCAUAUAUAGGCUCAAAUUCCAGCUAUCUCAUUUAGUAGUUCUCUGACUGUGGCCAAUUCAUCCAAGCCCUCUGAAUUGCAUUUGCAAAAUGGCGGGCAGAUCUCGGGUUGCCAUGAGCAUUAAAUGAAAUAAUAGAUAUAAAGCAUCUAAUGCAUAGAAGACACAACGAAUGUUGGUAGGCUUUUUCUCUCCCCCACUUAUCCCUCUGGGCAUUUUGCAACUAGUUCAACACUCAUUACUGACAUGCUUAUCAGGGAUAGUUGUUAAAAUAACUUGCUUUAUGAACUGAGGGAGUCAGUUGGCUCUCCCUAAAUUAAAAAUUAUAAGAUAGAAGUUGUAUGUUCCACAUAAUAUAGCCCAGAAUAUUCUGGUAGAACACAAGCCCAACUGAGACUUAAUUCAUGACAGCAAAGCAUGUUUCUUCCUAAUAUAUUUUGUAUAUCAGUCAGCUUUUGCUAAGUUAUCCUAGGGUAACAAAUAAUAAGCCUCCAAAUCUCGGAAUUUUCCAAUGAGAAAUGUUUUUUUCUCACUCACCUUUCACAACCCUUACAGAAUGGGUGCAGUUCUACUCCAUACCCUCUUCAUUCUGAGAACAAAGCUGAAGAAGCAGGCCCCUUCUGAGACAUGCCAGUCUCAGGCAGGAAAAGUGAAAGACAAAAACCUCACAUCACAUGAUGGCUCUGGAAUCUUCUGCUCAGAAAGGGGCACACGAUACUUUAGCUCAAAUUUCAUUGGCCCAACCAAGUUACAUGCCUGAGUCUGAUGUCAGUGAGAUGAGAAAUGUAAUCCUCCAGAGACAACCCAGUCAUGAAGUUUUAGGCAAGGCUGGGAGCAACAGAUAUUAUAACAACAAUACAAUUUAGCACAUAUAGUCUCUCAAACAUAAGGCUUUCAUUUAAGGUAACUACAGAAUAUCUGAAGCUAAGACAGCUAUAACUUGAAUGAAAUUGGUGUAACAGGUGAGCAAUUUAGUCAUUUCUGGAUUCUGUUAGGUCUAUCACUGCAGGGUUUUACCAAAAUCUCUUUUUUUGUGUCUUAGAAUCUCAGACUGUUUUGUGCUCUGCGGAGAUUCCUCCCUUCAGCCAUGAUGGAAUGUUAUACCUUCUGGCUCUUCAAACAGCCUGUUUUGUAAACAGUGCUUCUGUGUCUUUUGUUGAGUUACAGCUGAAAAUAUUGCCCACUGUGCUUCUCAGUGCUUCUUACCCAGGGACUCACAUGAGAUCGUUAGACUUUUUUUUUUUUUUUUCCCUGCAGAAAUAAAGCUUGCUUCUGUAGACUAAUGUGUGUGCUUUAUUUCUUCAGACAAAGACUAAAGAAAAAAUCCACCGUGUUUCCCUUUUUGGACUUUCAUCGCCGGAAAUCUUAGGACCCAAUUCAGUGCCAAACUGUAGUCAUUGACUUAGCUGCCUGGUAGAAUUUUCCCUUUCUGCUAACUUUAAAUAGUUCCCGUUCCAUUGAAUCCCCUGAUGGUCCAGAUUUGCAUUUUUUGAAACUCCUAACCUGUCUCAAAUGUUUUGGGAAAUAGUCCAAAUACUGAAUCCUGAAAAAAAUAAAAAUGUGAUCCACAAUUACAAACUAACUCAGAAGAAAAUGUUCCAGUUCUCACUAUGAUAUCUACGGAGAGAUGGAGCAUAUUAUGACCAAAUUUUAAUUCACUGUAGAAACUCCAACUCUUCAACCCUAAACUGAAAGAAGGUUCAAAAGCAUGUUUAUGUGUGACGGAGUGUUGCAUGUACAUGCUUUUGCAUGUUGAAUCCCCCAGCUAGAAUGUGAACCUGAGGAAGACAGGGUCCACGUCAAACUUGCACACCCAGCAUCUGCCUGAAGCGCCAAAGGGAAAGCAGCAGUUCCUGUACACAGGGCACCUGGCUAUGUGGUGGAACUCUGGAGAUGAAGUAACUUUCCUGAGGUUACAGAGCGAGGAAGUGGCAGAGGUGGCAUUAGAACUAAGUGCUGGAUCAUUCCAACGUCUGUGCUCUUUCUAUGAUAGCGCUAUUUCUCAAAGUGAUGUAACACAUGUAAAACUGGUGAGGCACAAGAUUGGGUGGUCCACUUAGGAAACUUUACAGAUUUAAAGGUAUGCAUGGUAUGCAUUUAUCUUCAUAGGUGUCAAAAUAUAAUUAGCAUAAAGCACCUCUGAUUUCGUGGAUAUGAUGAACUAAGGUGAAGCAGUUUCUUGAAGUAGAAAAUGUGGGUUAAUUAAAAGAUCAAUCUGAAGUAAACAAUCACAUGGGAGAUCUAGGGAUAAGGUAGCCCUAGGGAUAAAGUAGAUGUCCUCAGAAUGACUGAAGUCUGGCAAAGAGCCUUGCCUCCCAUCUCAUUUCAGUUGACACAUUUAUCACAUAACAUAUUCAUCCUAUGAUACAAUAUAUUUAAUCUGAGAUCUGUUGCAUCUCCCACCCCCCCUCCCCACACCAGGCACUCUGCCCUUCAUUACGCUUUCAGAAAGCAUCUCCAAGACAGACACCUGAGAUCAGCCACAUCUAUUGUGGAUGGGAUUUUUUUUUUUUUAAGUUGUAAUCUAUGGACAUUUCUGCCCACCAAUUCUAACCAUGUAUUUGAAAAGUCUCCAUUAUAAGCUUGGUUUAUCCUCUAUUGUGAGGCAAUCUCCUUCUUCACUUUAAAAUAGCAAUUCUGAUGUAAGUUAAUUCAGCUGUUCUGUUCACUCAAUCCGAGGUCAAUUAUCAGCUCUGAUUAAAUAGGGUGUUGUCUCUUUGAAUUUGUGAUAUCAGCUUUAAAAACAAGGAUGCCAGAGACCCAGAUAGGAGGUGAAUCUGUGCGCUAUAAAUAGAAAAGAUAAUAAGGUACUUCAGCUUUCUGCUAGUAAAACUUUAUGUAGGGUCUUGGUGACUAAAAUUAUAGGCAUUUAGAAUGUCAGGAAGGGGAAAAAACUUAUUAUGGUAAAAUAGCACAGAGUUUGCCUCUUUGUAAUAGUUAUGAGUUUUUCCUUGCCUAAAAUAACAUGAUUUUAUGAGGUUAUAAUACCUGAUGGAAAUUAAGAGGAGUACUGCAUUUUGCAGCUCAUUAAGUGUUGAUUACGUAAGUAUUUCUGGGUGAAGCAUCAUUUGAAUUUUCCUCCAAAAGCAAAACUGACAGUAUUCCUCCAUCUUUUUUGUUAUUAUUUUCUCAAUGAUAUGUUUGUAAAGCACAUAAUUACUCUUAGUUAUUCUCACGAGCAUUCAUUUUCAUAUCUAGUAACAGUCUUAGGUCUGAAAAAAGUUUUGCAAAAGACGCAGUAAUCUAUAUGCUGUUAGCUGGAAUUAGCAUUUAUGAAUAUUUUAGUUGAUUUUUCUCUAGCUAGUUUUCAUUAUCACCACGUUAUUUUCUCUAUCAUGUCUUAAUCUAAAUAUGUAUUAACAUUAAUUAAUUUAGUUGUAGCUGGAGAAUUCGUUAACCAAUGGCUAUAGUUCUGUUGGUUAUAUCCCCAGAUGGAGAGUGAUUGAGGAAUGAUGGGAGCUGUGAUAGCUGGAUCUCAGGCUAAACACCAGUUACUCCCACAGCCUCCCCAGAAGAUUAGAUAUUCAGGACUGGAGGUGGUGGAGGGAGAGAUGCUAAUAUUUCCAACAAAUUAAUGUAGUUUAAGUAACCCAGGUAUAUUAGUUUGGGUCUAAUCAAAGGACAGAAACCAGGAGUUCCCUGGUGGCUUAGCGGGUUAAGGAUCUGGCAUUGUCAUUGCUGGGGCUCAGGUUGCUGCUGUGGCAGGG
rnacentral:lncRNA from 1 species